rnacentral:tRNA from 1 species
GGGGCUGUAGCUCAGCUGGGAGAGCGCCUGACUGGCAGUCAGGAGGUCAGGGGUUCGAUCCCCCUCAGCUCCACAA